rnacentral:rRNA from 1 species
AUUGAACGCUGGCGGCAUGCCUUACACAUGCAAGUCGAACGGUAACGCGGGCGAACCUGGCGACGAGUGGCGAACGGGUGAGUAAUGCAUCGGAACGUGCCCAGUAGUGGGGGAUAGCCCGGCGAAAGCCGGAUUAAUACCGCAUACGACCUACGGGUGAAAGCGGGGGACCGUAAGACCUCGCGCUAUUGGAGCGGUCGAUGUCAGAUUAGGUUGUUGGUGGGGUAAAAGCCUACCAAGCCGACGAUCUGUAGCUGGUCUGAGAGGACGACCAGCCACACUGGGACUGAGACACGGCCCAGACUCAUACAGGAGGAAGCAGUGGGGAAUGUUGGACAAUGAGGGCAACCCUGAUCCAGCAAUGCCGCGUGCGGGAAGAAGGCCUUCGGGUUGUAAACCGCUUUUGUCAGGGAAGAAACGCUCUGGGCUAAUACCCCGGGGUAAUGACGGUACCUGAAGAAUAAGCACCGGCUAACUACGUGCCAGCAGCCGCAGUAAAAC